ACACGGUUACAAAGCUAAGGCUCCGAUCCAUGGGGAGAAAUCCUUUUAACUCUCAAAGUACUCACCUAUAUUCCAAGGAUUCGUAUCCAUGGGGAGAAAUGCUUUUGUUUUGAUCACUUUACUAUUUGUUUAUUUUUUCUGUGCACACGCAGUGACCUUUAGUAAUAAUGGUUGUUCUGAUAUAAAUGGUAAUUACACCAAAGGAAGUGUUUAUGAAAGGAACCUCGAUCAACUUCUUUCCAAUCUCUCGUCCAAAGCUUCUUCAUCGAAGUUUCAUAAUUCAACAACUGGCGAUUUUCCUAACAAAAUAUAUGGCCUUUAUCAAUGCGGAGAGGAUUAUACCAUCGAGAUCUGUCGAGUGUGCAUCCGAGAUGCGACUCAAAAGAUUAAAAAAGUAUGUCCCUUAUAUGGUGAAGGAAUUGUAUGGUAUUAUGAAUGUAUGUUAAGGUAUGCAAACCGUUCUAUCUUCUCCUUGUACGAGACAUCUCCAUCCUCUGCUGCAUGGUACCAAGAUAGUAUCGCGAACUAUGAUAAGUUUAGUCCAGUGCUAACAAGUACAAUGAAUACAACUAUUGGUAAAGCUGCUCGUACUACAGCUCGGGGACAUUUCGCUUCUACAACUGUUUAUUGGACAUCUAUUGAUCGUGUCUACUGCUUCGCUCAGUGCACACCCGAUAUAGAUGACCUUGAUUGUAUGGACUGCCUGAAACUUACUAUGGGUGAGAUAUACAGCAAUUACAAUGCGAGUAAAGGAGUGUCGGUCUUUUAUCCAAGCUGCCAAAUAGGUUACGAUACGGAGCUUCCCUUGAUACCAGCACCAUCAGCUUCAGAUUUGUCGUAUGCCGUCAUCACUCCCCUCUUCUACCGGCGGUUGUGUUUAGUCGCUGCUGCCGCUGUUGUUGUGGUUGACGGUGCUCAGUCGCCGUCGAAGACUCGAACCCCCCACCUCUAUGCCCUGUUCUUCGCUGCAUCCUAGUAGAGCAGAGGUAUAUUUCCUCUUUGUUCUUAAUUUAACUUUUUUUUAAUUGUAAAUUAAGCCAAGUUGCUGUUGUGGUUUGUUGUUGUUGUAGGUUAUGUUGUAUUAUUUUGUUGUUCUUGUUGUGCUGCUAUAUUAUUGUUAUCGUUCUGUUCUUGUUGUAGCUGUGUUGUUGCAUUUUGUUGUUAUUGUUGUUGUUCUGUUGUGGUUGGCGUUAUUGUUGGUGGAGGUGGUGUUAUGAUUGUGGUGUACUUGUGCGUUGUUGAUGCUGUGAUGGUGGUUGUUGUGUCGUUGUGAUGGUGGUUUAUUGUUAAAAUGGGUUGCUGAAUUGGUGUAGUUAUUUGUGGUGAUUAUUGUUGGGUUGUUGUGGUUAUGGUGUUGUUGUUGCGUAUGGCUGUAAUGGAUUUCUAUAUUGAGAAUUAAGGAAAUUAGAAUGUUAAAGGUUGUAAUAUCUAGAUUGAGAUAGGUUAUGGUUCCAUUUUCUAGUUUAGAAUAGUUAAGAUUGGUUAUUGAUUAUUGUUAUUAUUGUGAGGUUAUUAUUGGAGGAUGAUUAUGGAAUUGAAUCUCAUUUGGAGAUGAAGAUUAUUGAAGGAGGUUAUAUUGUUGGAAUCUGAAUAGCAUUUCAGGUUUGAUAUUCAGAGCUCGGAAUUCGAAGUGAAGCAAGAUCAAGGUUUCAUAGUGGCUUAAGGAUUAAGUUUGUAUAUAGAUAGCUUAUUCGAGAAUAGUUAUUUAUGUUUCGUUGUAUAAUAUUUGGGAAUAUUAGUCGAGUUGUUGGUGUAUUUAAGGAUAUUUUUCCGCUGCGAAGUAAUUUAUUUAAGAGUUAAUUAUUGUUUA